rnacentral:rRNA from 1 species
UGGGGAAUAUUGCACAAUGGGCGCAAGCCUGAUGCAGCCAUGCCGCGUGUGUGAAGAAGGCCUUCGGGUUGUAAAGCACUUUUAGCGGGGAGGAAGGCGUUAAGGUUAAUAACCUUGGCGAUUGACGUUACCCGCAGAAGAAGCACCGGCUAACUCCGUGCCAGCAGCCGCGGUAAUACGGGGGGUGCAAGCGUUAAUCGGAAUUACUGGGCGUAAAGCGCACGCAGGCGGUCUGUCAAGUCGGAUGUGAAAUCCCCGGGCUCAACCUGGGAACGGCAUUGGAAACUGGCAGGCUAGAGUCUUGUAGAGGGGGGUAGAAUUCCCGGUGUAGCGGUGAAAUGCGUAGAGAUCUGGAGGAAUACCGGUGGCGAAGGCGGCCCCCUGGGCAAAGACUGACGCUCAGGUGCGAAAGCGUGGGGAGCAAAAAGG